UGUGUAAACACCCUGUGUAAACAAUAAUGAAAAGAUUAUCAUUGAUUAUGAUAAUCUUUUCAUUAUUGUUUACACAGGAUGUGGUUGUCC